rnacentral:rRNA from 1 species
UACGUAGGGGGCUAGCGUUGUUCGGAAUCAUUGGGCGUAAAGCGCGUGUAGGCGGCUCGGUAAGUCCGCUGUGAAAGUCGGGGGCUCAACCCUCGGAAGCCGGUGGAUACUGUCGAGCUAGAGUACGGAAGAGGCGAGUGGAAUUCCUGGUGUAGCGGUGAAAUGCGCAGAUAUCAGGAGGAACACCAAUUGCGAAGGCAGCUCGCUGGGACGUUACUGACGCUGAGACGCGAAAGCGUGGGGAGCAAACAGG